rnacentral:rRNA from 1 species
UCAUUGUAGCAAUACAAGGCAGACGGCUCAUUAACGCGUAGUCAACCUAACCUAUGGACGGGAAUAACCUCGGGAAACUGAGAAUAAUGCCCGAUAGAACACUAUGCCUGGAAUGGUUUGUGUUCCAAAUGAUUUAUCGCCGUAGGAUGGGACUGCGGCCUAUCAGUUUGUUGGUGAGGUAAUGGCCCACCAAGACUAUUACAGGUACGGGCUCUGAGAGGAGUAGCCCGGAGAUGGGUACUGAGACACGGACCCAGGCCCUAUGGGGCGCAGCAGGCGAGAAAACUUUGCAAUGUGCGAAAGCACGACAAGGUUAAUCCGAGUGGUUUGUGCUAAACAGACCUUUUGUUAGUCCUAGAAACACUAACGAAUAAGGGGUGGGCAAGUUCUGGUGUCAGCCGCCGCGGUAAAACCAGCACCUCAAGUGGUCAGGAUGAUUAUUGGGCCUAAAGCAUCCGUAGCCGGGUCUAUAAGUUUUCGGUUAAAUCUGUAUGCUCAACAUACAGGCUGCCGGGAAUACUGUAGAGCUAGGGAGUGGGAGAGGUAGACGGUACUCGGUAGGAAGGGGUAAAAUCCUUUGAUCUAUUGAUGACCACCUGUGGCGAAGGCGGUCUACCAGAACACGUCCGACGGUGAGGGA